CUUCUCAGCCUCGACAUCCAAC
rnacentral:misc_RNA from 1 species